AGGGCACCACCAGGAGUGGAGCCUGCGGCUUAAUUUGACUCAACACGGGAAAUCUCACCAGGCCCGGACACUGGAAGGAUUGACAGAUUGAGAGCUCUUUCUUGAUUCAGUGGGUGGUGGUGCAUGGCCGUUCUUAGUUGGUGGAGCGAUUUGUCUGGUUAAUUCCGGUAACGAACGAGACUCUGGCCUACUAACUAGACGUUAGAUCCUUUAUGGGUUUGACGAUGCUUCUUAGAGGGACGGGCGGCUUUUAGCCGCACGAGAAUGAGCAAUAACAGGUCUGUGAUGUCCUUAGAUGUUCUGGGCUGCACGCGCGCUACACUGAAGAAAUCAGCGUGUGUUCCCUAUCCGAAAGGUUUGGGAAACCCGUUGAACCUUCUUCGUGAUGGGGAUUGGGGAUUGUAAUUAUUCCCCAUGAACGAGGAAUUCCCAGUAGGCGCGAGUCAUAAGCUUGCGUCGAUUACGUCCCUGCCCUUUGUACACACCGCCCGUCGCUACUACCGAUCGAGUGAUUUAGUG
rnacentral:rRNA from 1 species